rnacentral:lncRNA from 1 species
UUAAAUAUGACUCCUAUUUCCAGUCAAAUUAGAGAAAUAAUCUUUCAGUUAAACUCUGUUUACUUGUUUCAAUCAAAUACUGAUUAGUUUAGAUUAUUUUAUUAUUAUUUGACCUAUGAAUUUAGCCUAUAAAUAGGCUCUUUUACAACCUUAGAAAAACACACCCAUUAGAGAUUAGAACUCAUAACACAUUUAGAGAAUUUUGUGUUUACGUUUUGUGGGUUCUUUUUUUUCGGGUUUUCAGGGUUUAGUUUUUAUCUCUAUCUUUUGUACUCUUCGUUCUUUUGCCAUUAUAGUAAAAUUAUAUUUGCCCGUGGUUUUUUAUCCUCUUUGAAGAGGUUUUCCACAUUAAAUUUGUGUUCAAUUUCUCAAUUUAUUCUCCUAUUUUCUUGGUCAUUACUUAAUCGGGUUAAAAUCCUAACAAGUGGCAUCAGAGCUAGUUUAAUUUUCAUAAAUCAGCUCGUUCAGAGAUGGCAACAACAAGGUUUGAAAUUGAAAAGUUCAAUGGUGAGACAAAUUUCAAUCUGUGGCAAGUUCGGAUGAUGGCAAUUCUAGUUCAAUCAGGCUUGAAAAAGGUUGUUACCGGGAAAAAACCUGAGAAUCUAAAUAAAAUAGAAUGGGAAGAGCUUGAUAAAAAGGCUUUGUCUGCAAUCCAGUUGUGCCUCGCGAAUACGGUAUUGCAGUAGGUAUUGAUGAAGAAGACCUCAUCCGCCUUGUGGAAAAGGUUAGAAACUCUUUAUGCGACUAAGUCUCUAGCUAAUCGUUUAGUGUUGAAACAAUGUCUAUUUACGUUUCGCAUGAACGAAUGUAAGCUUCUUAGAGAUCACAUCAGUCAAUUUAUUACUCUUUUAAAUGAUUUAAAGAAUGUUGAUGUUCAUAUUGACGAUAAAGAUCAGGCUAUGCUAUUAUUGUGCUCUUUACCCCUUUCAUACAAGUCUUGUAGGGAGAAUCUGAUUUAUGGCAGAGACAAACUCUCGUUCAAAGAUGUGAAGAGUCAUUUGUUGAGUAGAGACAAACUCGAUAAUGAGCUUCAUUUGGAUAGCAAGACAAAUAGGCAAGCUUCUGUUUUGGUAGCAUCAAAGUAACGAGAUAAAAUGUGUCGCUAUUGUAAAAAGUUAGGUCACGUCAAAGCAGAUUGUUAUAAACUGCGAAAUAAAAAAGCUGCUGAGAGUAACGAGGAAGAUGUAGCUGGUGCUAAUUUGGCCGAUGAAAAUGGUGAUGAUUUCUUGUUAGUGUCAACAAGCGAUAACACCAAGCUCACGUCCGAGUGGAUCCUAAAUUCAGGAUGUUCUUUCCACAUGUGUCCCAAUAGAGAAUGAUUCUCCACAUACAGUUCGAUUGAAUGUGGAGUUGUGCGCAUGAGAAACGAUUCAUCUAGUAAGGUAAUUGGUAUUCGUACUGUUAAAAUUAAGAUGUACGAUGGAAUGAUUAGGACACUCUCAAAUGUCAAGUAUGUGCCUGAUUUACGAAAGAAUCUCAUCUCCUUAAGUAUUUUAGACUUGAAAGGAUGCAAAAUCAACAUCGAGUCGAGCGACAUUAAAGUAUCUCGUGGAGCUCUCGUUUUGUUAAAAGGUAAAAGAACCGGCAGUCUUUAUAUUCUGGAAGGUUAUACAGUGACCAGUGAAAUAGGACGUCCCUCGUCCAUUACAGAGUUGAAGUCAACUUGUUUGGAGCGAAAGUAACUUGGUCAUAGGAGGGAAAAAUGUAUGACUGUUUCGUUGAAGAGAGGUUCUCUUUUGGAUGCAGGUUUUGAAAAGUUAGGGCAUUGUGUUCGUGAAAAUCAGACCCGGGUUAGUUUUGAUUUGGCAGUGUACAAGUCGAAGGCUAGAAGUCUUCCAGUUUCUAAGUACAAAUUCGACUCAAUUAAUUCCCUGCAGUUCAAGAUAGGCUCGUGGCGGGCUUUGGCAAAGAUGGUGUUGUGAAAAUAUGAGUCAAGGUGGAGAUUUGUUAAAUAUGACUCCUAUUUUUAGUCAAAUUAGAGAAAUAAUCUUUCAGUUAAACUCUGUUUACUUGUUUCAAUCAAAUACUGAUUAGUUUAGAUUAUUUUAUUAUUAUUUGACCUAUGAAUUUAGCCUAUAAAUAGGCUCUUUUACAACCUUAGAAAAACACACCCAUUAGAGAUUAGAACUCAUAACACAUUUAGAGAAUUUUGUGUUUACGUUUUGUG